rnacentral:lncRNA from 1 species
UUGGUGGAGGAGAUACACAACAGACACAAGGAGAUUGUUUUCUUUCUUUCUUUUUUUUUUUUUUUCUUCAGGCUACAUGGCUUAGAAUUUUACUUAGAACAACACCAGUAGUUGGUAUGAAUCAGACUUGGUUCAAAGUUAGUAAUGAGACUGAAAAGAAACCAGGACAUUAAAUACAUGUGAAAGAAAAGAAGAUGGUCUUGAUGUGGGAAUGAAGGCAGGUGCUGAGCAUAUUGUGUGUGGUGUAUUUUGGGGCUAUUAAUACCAGUACAGUCAGUAACUGGAAAUGAGCCUGAUCCAUUGAGCUACACUGGGACCUGAGUACAAGUCCUUGUGGAUCAUCCAUGCGGAGGUCUGGCUUUCAAACCAGAGAGUGGGUGGAUUUUGUAAAAGAUGACAUGUGGUAUGCUGUUGUGUGAUUUUUUUUUCCUGGAUAGAGGUGAAUAAAUAACUCUUUACUACAGAUGGGGCAUUGUGACACAUCAAAGAAAUUAUCCCAGUCAGUCUUGAGAUUUUAGUGCUGUGGCUUACAGGAACAUAGGUGAGGUGUCCUUAGGGGGAGCGUGGUGACGCAGAGGUCGCUGCAUCACCACACUGAUCAUCUCAGCAUGAGACAAAAGCUGUAUCCAUGGAAGCUCCCCAUCUACUUCCUAGGAAUUCUGUCAGAGACUUUUCACUUCUCUAGCAAUUCAUUAGAGUUCUUCUACCACCUCAGCGAUGGUGUGUUGCAAAUCAUUUAACAUCCGGGUCUUUCCAAGCUUUGUAUAUUUCAUUAAGUUCCCACACUCUAUGAACCUCAUCUCUCUACCAUAGGGAAUAUGUCAAUUUGGAGGAAACAGCUGUAAAGCUCUUUGGCCCCUACCGAUUCUCUUGCGUUUUUUUUUUUUUUUUUCCACUUGCUUUUCCAUCAUGUUCCCUGAGUCUUACAGGGUUUGCUAUAUUUAGUCUGGUUAUUUUAUUUCAUGUGUGGUGGAGUAUUGGGCCACAAUGCUAUGGUAAUAGUCACUUAUUCUCGGGAACAUGACUUGUUAUGAAAUUGCAGUAAUCACCAUCUAUUGGAGAAAUAAUUUUCCCUUCACAACCAACCAAUGUUUAAUGAUCUAUGUAUAAAAAUCAAAUAUUUAGACAGCAAUUAACAGGCACCUCACAUCCAUUUAACAAAAUAAUAGUGAUGAUUUCCUUUCUGGGUCCUGACCUCCACAGGCAUAGUUCUUUGUCUCAGGCUACAGUAUUAAGAAUAAAUUCCUCAGUACAAAGAUCCUAAAAUUGAAUCAGAAAACAGUUGUUUGAACUUAUAACAGUCAUGCCAAAGGACACAUAGUGGCCUGUCAUAUUGGUAGUCUAGUAUGCAUGUUCCAUACCAAGCAGAGCAUGGGUGACAAUUUACCCCUAUAAUGGUGUGCAUAAUAUCACAAAAGCCAUUCAAAGGAGAAGGACCUUACACUGUAAUCUCAUCUUGAUUUCUCCAUGUCCUAUAACUAAAACAUGUGAAGUUCUUAGCAUUAGGGACCUACUCUCUAAUUCUAAAAUAGAAUUACAUCAGUCAAAACCUUUAAUAGUUUAUUGAGCUAACUUGGAUAGAAAUCCUUCUCUAGCAAGGGAUUUUAAAAAAGUGUGUGUAUGUGUGUAUGAGAGAGAGAGAGCGAGAACACUUGUAUUCUAUAAAUUUUCUAUACAGAAUAUUUCUUUCAAUCUCCUUAAAUGCUGUCUAUACUGUAAUUACAAAUGUUCCCAAACAUUAAAAAUUAGAAUAAUAUAGUGAAACCUAAUUUUACACAUGUUGGGCAGUGUUGUCUCUUUUAUGCCAUUGUCCAUUGGUCUUAAAUGGUUAAAGGGACACGAAAAAUAAAUAUUAUCACCAUUCAAUACAGUAUGGAGAUAUUCCCAUGGUUUGUAUCAUUUAUUUCACCCAAUGAAUGACAUUUGCCAUUGAUAAGCUAUCUAGUCAUUCACCCUCUACUAUCCACAAUUAAUUUCCGUCAGUCAUCUGGCAUUCAGAUCUUGGGUUAUUUCUGUAUUGUUGCCACUAUGCAUAUCCCCAAACCAGACAUCCUUGAUGGGGGUCAGAUUGUAUAUUUGGGCCUGGUUUAUGUCAAAGACAGAGUAGGGCCAUGUUCUGGUUGCUUGCCAAUGGAGAGGGCUUCCAAGAACUUAUCAGUAAGUUCUGGAGAAGUUCCAUAGCCCUUGACUUUCAAUGAGCUACACCUGCUACUGAAAGAUUCCUGGACAGAGUGGAAAUCUCUACUACACCCAGUGCACUGGUUUUGCAAGAGAGAAAAUGUAAACUUUAAUGAGAGAAACUUUAAAUGAGAAACGUUAAUGAGAAAAACUUUAAAGAGAGAAAAUGUAAACUUUAACCACCAACUCCUAGCACAAGCUCAAUUUUUUAAAAUUAAUUUUACUUAGAUAAUUUUAUCACGUGGAUCUCCCAUUAUUCGUUGCCUAAGAGUUCAAUCAAUCCUGAUGUAACUAGCUUAGCACCUGGUUUUCUGUUUCUGUUUUUGUUUUUUUUGUUUUUUUUUCCCCUAGCUCAUCUGGCUGGACCCAGAUCUUGCGACAUUUUUUUUUCCACUCACUUGGACUGACUUCUUUUGUUUGUUUUAACUUUUGGUCACCAUUCUCUUUCCCAAUUGCUUCGGCACUUUAGAUACCUGGUUUGCAUGCCAGCCUAAAUCGUUUAGAUCUGCUAGAACCUUCUUCAUAAAGCCCAUGUCCCAACAUGUGACUUGGCAAAGCUGCCAAAGCCUCAUAUUAUUUGGUCUUCUUAUUGCUGCUAUAAAAUUCCUGAUCCCCCUCCCCCAAAAAACCGAAAUGAAAAGAAAACACAAAACCAAACC